rnacentral:misc_RNA from 1 species
CCGAGUUUACAACUCCCAAACCCAAUGUGGACGUUACCAAACUGUUGCAUCGGCGGGAUCUCUGCCCGGGUGCGUCGCAGCCCCGGACCAAGGCGCCCGCCGGAGGACCAACCAAAAACUCUUAUUGUAUACCCCCUCGCGGGUUUUUUUAUAAUCUGAGCCUUCUCGGCGCCUCUCGUAGGCGUUUCGAAAAUGAAUCA